AUACGUAGGGGGCGAGCGUUGUCCGGAAUGAUUGGGCGUAAAGGGCGCGUAGGCGGCCCGGUAAGUCUGGAGUGAAAGUCCUGUUUUUAAGAUGGGAAUUGCUUUGGAUACUGUCGGGCUUGAGUGCAGGAGAGGUCAGUGGAAUUCCCAGUGUAGCGGUGAAAUGCGUAGAGAUUGGGAGGAACACCAGUGGCGAAGGCGACUUACUGGACUGUAACUGACGCUGAGGCGCGGAAGUGUGGGGAGCAAACAGGAUUAGAUACCCUGGUAGUCCACACUGUAAACGAUGAAUGCUAGGUGUAGGGGGUAUCGACCCCUUCUGUGCCGCAGUCAACACAAUAAGCAUUCCGCCUGGGGAGUACGGCCGCAAGGUUGAAACUCAAAGGAAUUGACGGGG
rnacentral:rRNA from 1 species